AACAACAACAGAAGAAGAAGCCAUUAAUGAACUGGUCAUCGUCCUCAUUCACCUGGAAGACGAGGAUGAGGUGGCCAAGGCCGCAAGGAGGGCUCUUUCCCAUCUAGCCCCAAAAGUCAAGUGGUGGGCGCAUCCCAACAAAUUUAGCCUCCACUUUGCACUCCACCAGGCUGCCAAGCAUCUGAGCAAGACCUUCAGCAAGAACAUCCUUCGGAGUGCUGCCUUGACAUGUACCAAGCCGUCGGCCAACAGGCUGCCAGCCGUCUCCAGGGUGGCAGCUCUGCUUCUGGGUAAGUCA